AGGGCUGGUCGAGAGACCCAGGUCCAUCGAGGGCGGGGAAGUCCCCC
rnacentral:ncRNA from 1 species